rnacentral:ncRNA from 1 species
CAUCUGUUUAGUAGCGAUUGCAGAUUGCUUCAACAGGUAGAGUAGAAAGUAAAUUCGUUAGGGUUAAAAGGCUGAAGGUUUAAACUUCAGCCUUUUUU